GGCCGCCUGGCGAAAUGGCAUCGCGUCUGACUACGAUCUUGGGUAAUCAGGAGAUUGCAGGUUCGACCCCUGCGGUGGUCA
rnacentral:tRNA from 1 species